rnacentral:rRNA from 1 species
UGGGGAAUCUUGCACAAUGGGGGCAACCCUGAUGCAGCGACGCCGCGUGAGCGAUGAAGCCCUUCGGGGCGUAAAGCUCUUUCGACCGGAACGAUAAUGACGGUACCGGGAGAAGAAGCUGCGGCUAACUACGUGCCAGCAGCCGCGGUAAUACGUAGGCGGCAAGCGUUGUUCGGAGUUACUGGGCGUAAAGAGUGCGUAGGCGGUUUUCUAAGUUCGGUGUGAAAUCUCCCGGCUUAACUGGGAGGGUGCGCCGAAGACUGGGAAGCUGGAGUGUGGGAAAGGCAGGCGGAAUUCCUGGUGUAGCGGUGAAAUGCGUAGAUAUCAGGAGGAACACCGGCGGUGUAGACGGCUUGCUAGACCAUAACUGACGCUGAGGCACGAAAGCGUGGGUAGCAAACA